GAUGAACGCUGGCGGCGUGCCUAAUACAUGCAAGUCGAGCGAACGGACGAGAAGCUUGCUUCUCUGAUGUUAGCGGCGGACGGGUGAGUAACACGUGGGUAACCUACCUAUAAGACUGGGAUAACUUCGGGAAACCGGAGCUAAUACCGGAUAAUAUUUUGAACCGCAUGGUUCAAAAGUGAAAGACGGUCUUGCUGUCACUUAUAGAUGGAUCCGCGCUGCAUUAGCUAGUUGGUAAGGUAACGGCUUACCAAGGCAACGAUGCAUAGCCGACCUGAGAGGGUGAUCGGCCACACUGGAACUGAGACACGGUCCAGACUCCUACGGGAGGCAGCAGUAGGGAAUCUUCCGCAAUGGGCGAAAGCCUGACGGAGCAACGCCGCGUGAGUGAUGAAGGUCUUCGGAUCGUAAAACUCUGUUAUUAGGGAAGAACAUAUGUGUAAGUAACUGUGCACAUCUUGACGGUACCUAAUCAGAAAGCCACGGCUAACUACGUGCCAGCAGCCGCGGUAAUACGUAGGUGGCAAGCGUUAUCCGGAAUUAUUGGGCGUAAAGCGCGCGUAGGCGGUUUUUUAAGUCUGAUGUGAAAGCCCACGGCUCAACCGUGGAGGGUCAUUGGAAACUGGAAAACUUGAGUGCAGAAGAGGAAAGUGGAAUUCCAUGUGUAGCGGUGAAAUGCGCAGAGAUAUGGAGGAACACCAGUGGCGAAGGCGACUUUCUGGUCUGUAACUGACGCUGAUGUGCGAAAGCGUGGGGAUCAAACAGGAUUAGAUACCCUGGUAGUCCACGCCGUAAACGAUGAGUGCUAAGUGUUAGGGGGUUUCCGCCCCUUAGUGCUGCAGCUAACGCAUUAAGCACUCCGCCUGGGGAGUACGACCGCAAGGUUGAAACUCAAAGGAAUUGACGGGGACCCGCACAAGCGGUGGAGCAUGUGGUUUAAUUCGAAGCAACGCGAAGAACCUUACCAAAUCUUGACAUCCUUUGACAACUCUAGAGAUAGAGCCUUCCCCUUCGGGGGACAAAGUGACAGGUGGUGCAUGGUUGUCGUCAGCUCGUGUCGUGAGAUGUUGGGUUAAGUCCCGCAACGAGCGCAACCCUUAAGCUUAGUUGCCAUCAUUAAGUUGGGCACUCUAAGUUGACUGCCGGUGACAAACCGGAGGAAGGUGGGGAUGACGUCAAAUCAUCAUGCCCCUUAUGAUUUGGGCUACACACGUGCUACAAUGGACAAUACAAAGGGCAGCGAAACCGCGAGGUCAAGCAAAUCCCAUAAAGUUGUUCUCAGUUCGGAUUGUAGUCUGCAACUCGACUACAUGAAGCUGGAAUCGCUAGUAAUCGUAGAUCAGCAUGCUACGGUGAAUACGUUCCCGGGUCU
rnacentral:rRNA from 1 species